rnacentral:lncRNA from 1 species
AUUACUCUAUAGAGCCCAAUCCCUUUAUAGAAUUCUUUAGUUGGUAACUUCAAUGCCUAUGAACUAGACCGGUGUCAACUGAACAAGCCUUACUCACAAGGGAGUCAAUCUUCAUAGUUCCCACGUUACCCACUCCUAUAAUAGUUAUUUGAAUUGGAUUUAGUAACUGCCUCACUCUUUAUCGACUUACUUAUAUUCUUGCUACCUUGCCGAUUAGUCUAUCUAUCC